CCGCGCUCUUGGCCACAACCGCAGCGUUGGAACCGCGCGAGAGGCAAUGAGGGGCACAACCGAGGAAGCAGCUCCCACCCGGUUACCCGGGCUGGGAGGCCUUGAGCUGAGGGUGCCUCUCGCGGGAUCACACCCCUCUGGCCCUGUGCUCAGGGCAUGACGAAUGGUUUACUGGUAACCAUAGUUGAGUCCAGAAGAUCCAUGCUCAUCCUACGCAUUUCAGCACCAUUCAGGAGGCUAGGUGAUUUACCAAACUUCACCUGGGAGAAUCUUCCAUCAUUUCAACUUAUUUCUGCCAUUGUUAUGAACAUCCUGAGUGCCUGCUUUUCUGCAAUUGGAGCACUUAUAUUACUGAUUGCAUGUUUCACUUAUAGCUCAGAAAAGAAUGAAUAUGUUUGGUCACAUUUAGCUGGUAGUAUGAUUUUACAAUAUUUACUCUUCAGUGCCAUCACAGAACUGAUCACUGUCUCCAUAACUCUCUCCUGGAUUGUGAAAGCAUUAUACCAUCCAGAAACCAGUGAAGAGAGUUACUCAUCUUCGGAACCCCCUGUCUCUUCGUAAUUUGCAAA
rnacentral:lncRNA from 9 species